rnacentral:rRNA from 1 species
UACUGAGUGCGGGCCCUCUGGGUCCAACCUCCCACCCGUGUAUACUGUACCCUGUUGCUUCGGCGGGCCCGCCGUUCUGGCCGCCGGGGGGCAUCCGCCCCCGGGCCCGCGCCCGCCGAAGACACCCUGAACGCUGUCUGAAGAUUGCAGUCUGAGCGAUAAGCACAAAUUAGUUAAAACUUUCAACAACGGAUCUCUUGGUUCCGGCAUCGAUGAAGAACGCAGCGAAAUGCGAUAAGUAAUGUGAAUUGCAGAAUUCAGUGAAUCAUCGAGUCUUUGAACGCACAUUGCGCCCCCUGGUAUUCCGGGGGGCAUGCCUGUCCGAGCGUCAUUGCUGCCCUCAAGCCCGGCUUGGUCUUGGGUGCCGCCCCCCCGGGGGCGCGCCCGAAAGGCAGCGGCGGCACCGCGUCCGGUCCUCGAGCGUAUGGGGCUCUGUCACCCGCUUCGUAGGCCCGGCCGGCGCCAGCCGACCCCCCAAUCUUUCUUUAGGUUGACCUCGGAUCAGGUAGGGAUACCCGCUGAACUUAAGCAUAUCAAUAAGCGGAGGAAAAGAAACCAACAGGGAUUGCCCUAGUAACGGCGAGUGAAGCGGCAAGAGCUCAAAUUUGAAAGCUGGCUCCUUCGGGGCCCGCAUUGUAAUUUGCAGAGGAUGCUUCGGGAGUGGCCCCCGUCUAAGUGCCCUGGAACGGGCCGUCAUAGAGGGUGAGAAUCCCGUAUGGGAUGGGGUGUCCACGCCCGUGUGAAGCUCCUUCGACGAGUCGAGUUGUUUGGGGAAUGCAGCUCUAAAUGGGUGGUAAAUUUCAUCUAAAGCUAAAUAUUG